UUACUUGUGCGUCCACUGCGUCAGCUGAAAUAAGGGCUUUCCUGCUCUCGGUGCUGUGCCAACACGGUGCAAAACCUGCAAUCUAAGCUGGAAGAGAUCUAGCAGGUUUUCCAUUCAAGAUCUGCAAGGGUUGGGGAGGCAACACCGCAUCUGAUUUUGAUCUCUCACUCCUUUCACACUGGUGUGAUUCCAGUGAUGUGGAUGAUUUGCAUCUGAUUUGUAAGCUGUAAAUGCAACCAGAUUUUGAUUACAUUAUAUCGGAAAUGAGCAAGGUAACCGGGACUGCCAUGUGAUUUUGACCUGAAGAAUUGUUCCCCUUCACAUCUUGGUAUAGAGCAAGAAGCAGAAUCAUAGAAAUAGAAAUUAAGGGCUGGAAGGGACCUCAUGUUUGAAAGCAAUAUAUCUUCUUAUCUACGUAGGUGUCCCUUAUAUUUUAAAAUAAUGUUGGUGUUGCAAUAGCACCCAGAGCCUCCUCCUGGGCUUGAUUGGAGUUUAGUGGCACGAGUUUUUAUAGACGGAGCGAUACUCCAGACCUGAGUUUACAAUCUGAAGAAUCAAGGCAGUAAAAGGGAAGUUUUAUCAACUCUAUUUACAAGUGGGGAAUUGAGGCACAGGGAGGUUUGAAGGAACUUGCUCAGAAAAUCCCUGAACUCUGGUCUCGUGCAUCCCCAUUGUAACCCUUGUGUCAGCUGAGAAACACGAAUUUCACGUCAUAAGAAGUGUUGAUGUUUUUGUGAAACUUUUCCUGUGUGACUGCAGGGGGCAAAGGAGGGCAAGGACGGCGUCCUGGCUGUGGGACACCGGGUGCAAACUGCUGCUCUAGCUGACUUGAAGAGUGAACGUGGGGGUCCCACAUCCCAAGGAACUGCCCUGGCCCCUGGGAAGGGUCCUGUUCCCUGCUGCAACCAGAAACUAUCCUGGACCUCAGGAUCCUUUUUAGUGAAAAACAGCUGAUUCCUAUGACACAUUUGCGUUUGGACAAAUGACAUUUUUCCAGUUUUCCCAAGUAAAAAAAACAAACCCACCCCUUGACUAUAACCGCAAAACCACUGUUCCUUCUUCUAUCUUUUCCAGGUAACGCCGGAAGGCUGUCUCUUUAACAACUUUACAAGCAAGGCUACCACGUUAACAGAGCCCGAUCCAGACUGAGUAUUAAAAGAAGUCACUGACUGUUCGUUUGGACGCAAGCCCUGGACUACAGCAUCGGCACUUGUAUUUGCAAUGUGAAGUGCAAAGGAGCUUAUGGAAUCGGUGAGGCUGAAUUUGUGAGUGUGUAUUCACAGACCACCGCUACGCAAACUCUGAGGUCGAUUUGGUGCUCAAUUCAUCACUCGGGUUCCCAACACCUUCAAAACCCGUUCUCCGUAAAACUCAGGUAGAUGUACCUCAUGUUAUUAUCAAGACCCUGGCUGGGCCUGAGGGCUGUCUUUUGAAGACACGGCAGGUACCAAAGACAGGCACUGAUGAUGCUGAAAAUUCAGAGAGGGAUUAAAAGGAAUAAAGCUUUCUGGAUAAUGGAAAGGGAGGGAGACGCACGGGCAGAGGCGCUUCCCCAGCCCCCUCGCAGCCUCCAGAGAGAAGGCAAAGGGCUUGUUAGCGCCAGGAGCCCCUGCCCCUGCGUGCCGGAGGGCUGGCAGCGCUGGCACGGCCGGCUCCUGGCAGGCAUGGCACGGGGCAUCGUCUUGUGUUGUCGUCCCCUGAGCAGGCAGAGAUUAGCCCAGAUUGUGACAGGCAGGGCAACUGCACUUGACCCAAUUCCCUCAUGACAGCGACCUGGCCUCCCUGGCACCCUGACAGCGCAGCGGCAGGGCCACAGCAGCCUUCCCCGGUCUCCCUCCCCAGGGCCGGUCCCCUGCCCCAAGGAGCAGCGCUGCUCCCUGCAGCCCCGGGCCAGCUGGCCCGCUUCCAGCGCCGGGCGACAGGCGGCGCCCUCCGCCCAGCCUUCCCGUGUCCCGCGGGGAGGGGGGGGACACACACACACACACACACGCGUGCACACAUGCAUGAGUUGCCAAUACACACACACACACACACACGUGCAUAUGCACACACACACAAACACCUGCAUAGGCAUGCGCAUCCACACAUGCAUAUGCACACACACACACACACACAUGCAUGAGUGCCAAUACACACACGUGCAUAUGCACACACACACACACACACCUGCAUAGGCAUGCGCAUCCACACAUGCAUAUGCACACACACACACACACACACAUGCAUGAGUGCCAAUACACACACGUGCAUAUGCACACACACACACACACCUGCAUAGGCAUGCGCAUCCACACAUGCAUAUGCACACACACACACACACACACAUGCAUGAGUGCCAAUACACACACGUGCAUAUGCACACACACACACACACAAACACCUGCAUAGGCAUGCGCAUCCACACCCGCCUGCACACACAUGCAUAUGCACACACACACACACAUGCAUGUACGUGCAACCCCGCGCGCGCACAUACACACAUAUGCACAUGCACAGCCGCCUGCAGAGGCAUGCAGCCCUGCACACGCACGCACACGCACGCACAGAUGCACACCCCCCC